AAUGAACGCUGGCGGCGUGCCUAACACAUGCAAGUCGUACGAGAAAGGGGCUUCGGCCCUGAGUAGAGUGGCGCACGGGUGAGUAACGCGUAAGUUAUCUACCUCGGCAUCUGGAAUAACUCACCGAAAGGUGUGCUAAUACCGGAUACGUUGAGUAAUCAAGAAAGGUGGCCUCUGCAUAUGCUACCGUGCUGAGAUGAGCUUGCGUACCAUUAGCUAGUUGGUGGGGUAAUGGCCUACCAAGGCGACGAUGGUUAGCGGGUCUGAGAGGAUGAUCCGCCACACUGGAACUGGAACACGGACCAGACUCCUACGGGUGGCAG
rnacentral:rRNA from 1 species